CAAAAGUCUAUUCCCUGGAGUUUUGUGGCACAAGGGUUAGUUAACAGUACCUAAUAUGAGCCUUUCCAGCGAGGUUGAAGAGAAUUCUUCUGGAGUCAUCUUUUCCUACA